rnacentral:pre_miRNA from 1 species
AACAUUCAACGCUGUCGGUGAGUUUGGGCAGUAGAGGUUAAACCACCGACCGUUGAGUGUACC